rnacentral:rRNA from 1 species
GACGAACGCUGGCGGCGUGCUUAACACAUGCAAGUCGAGCGGUAAGGCCCUUUCGGGGGUACACGAGCGGCGAACGGGUGAGUAACACGUGGGUGACCUGCCCUUAGCUCUGGGAUAAGCCUGGGAAACUGGGUCUAAUACCGGAUAUGACUCCAUGACGCAUGUUGUGGGGUGGAAAGCCUUGUGCGGCUAGGGAUGGACCUGCGGCCUAUCAGCUUGUUGGUGGGGUGAUGGCCUACCAAGGCGACGACGGGUAGCCGGCCUGAGAGGGCGACCGGCCACACUGGGACUGAGACACGGCCCAGACUCCUACGGGAGGCAGCAGUGGGGAAUCUUGCGCAAUGGGCGAAAGCCUGACGCAGCGA